rnacentral:tRNA from 1 species
GCACCUCUAGCUCAGUUGGUAGAGCAACUGACUCUUAAUCAGUGGGUCCAGGGUUCGAAUCCCUGAGGGUGUA